ACGUAUAGAUGGUACACACGAUCCAUAAAGAUUUCCGGUCUCCAUUUUAUUGUAGCUUGCAGAUACAGACAGGCGGUUCGACGAAGGACAGGAAACGAAUCGACUAUCAGUGUUUGUUUUAAAAUACGUUACGUUUCUCAUUCACGUUUGCGGAGUAUCAAUUUUUGUUUUGAAAAUUGAGGCCUGUUGAAAUGGGAGAUCCAGCCAUGCACCGAGAUUGCCCUCUCGACUGCAAGGUCUACGUGGGAAACCUGGGGAACAAUGGCAAUAAGACAGAGCUGGAGCGGUCAUUCGGCUAUUAUGGGCCACUUCGCAGUGUCUGGGUAGCUAGGAACCCCCCAGGCUUUGCUUUUGUGGAAUUUGAAGAUCCAAGGGAUGCAACCGACGCAGUGAGAGAACUUGAUGGAAGGACAUUAAGUGGUUCCCGUGUGCGAGUGGAGCUGUCCAAUGGUGAGAAACGCACCCGCAACCGGGGUCCUCCUCCAUCGUGGAGCCGACGUCCUCGAGAUGACCAUCGUGGGCGUCGUGGUAGCCCGCCCGCCAGGCGCAGAGUCAUCACCAUGCCUCUUCUCACCACCCUCUGAGUCAGUCAACUAGUCCUCUUUCAGCAUCAUGUGACCAUUGACCAGCGUGCCCCAAUCAGCUUGGCUGAUGUCGUGUCACAUGGCCAGUCGUCAGGUUGCACCAGCCCAUUGGUUCCUGCGCAUGCAGUUCUCAGCCUCUUCCUCCAACUUUAAUCCAAUCGGCAGCGGCCCUCCUCACAUUCCCGACCAAUCAGCGUUUUACGUCCCCAAAUGUCUACACUGCAACCUACCAGCAGCAGCCCUCGGCUAACCAAUAAAAGCAGGAAAAAUCCACAGCCAGCCCCCAUCCACCAGCCAACUAAUCACCUCGCAGCAUCUGGCCAGUCCUUUUCAGCCAAAUCUGCCUACCCGGCCUACAGUCUACCUCCCCUUCGUCAUUUCUAGCUUGUUGAAAACCAAACGACUAAUCCCCACGUAGGAGGAGCUUCAGCCGCAGCCGAAGCAGGUCUCUCUCCAGAGACAGGAAGAGGGAGAGAUCUUUGUCCCGCGACAGGAACCACAAACCCUCAAGAUCAUUUUCCCGAUCAAGGAGCCGCUCCAGGUCUACGGAGAGGAAGUAAGGAAAUGCAUGGCAGUCGAGUUUGACGGCGAAGAAGAUGAAUGAACCUUUUUUUUUUUUUUUUUUUUUACUGAUAUUUUAGCGGUUUCAUUUUUGCUUCUCUGUGACAUGUAAGGUAUCCAAUUCCUCUGUAAUUUGUAAAUAAGUUGGUAUGCAGGUGUAACGCAUGACUAAAAUGGUUGUUAAUCCUGUUAAUGCCAAGACAUACCGUAGUUGUCCCCAAGCAGUAUUUCAUCAAUCAUUAUAAGCGUUCUCUAUUUGUCCAUGAGUACCAGCUCACACCAUUCUAAAUAGUCUAGUGCUCAAGUCAUGUUCCAUGUCAGCAAGAUUAGUGUGUCUGGAUGUGGUGGAAGGCUAUGGUCAGCUAUCCUAUUGUCGGUUAAUAUACCAAUAUGUUUUCUAUUGACCUCUAGGACUUCCACUAUUCUUCCAGUUCCUGUUGGUAAAGGUUUGUCUUUGCAAAUAACGGCACCCUUAUUUUGUCUACAAUAGCCCACUUUUUCUUUUCCUUGAUAUUUGUACUACUUAUGUUCUCUGAAUUAAACUAGUUGUAAAAAGGCUUCUUA